UACGGAGGGGGCUAGCGUUGUCCGGAUUUACUGGGCGUAAAGAGCGCGCAGGCGGUCGUUCAAGUCGCGUGUGAAAGCCCCCGGCUCAACUGGGGAGGGUCACGCGAUACUGAUCGACUCGAAGGCAGGAGAGGGAAGUGGAAUUCCCGGUGUAGUGGUGAAAUGCGUAGAUAUCGGGAGGAACACCAGUGGCGAAGGCGACUUCCUGGCCUGUUCUUGACGCUGAGGCGCGAAAGCUAGGGGAGCAAACGGGG
rnacentral:rRNA from 1 species